AUACGUAGGUGACAAGCGUUAUCCGGAUUUACUGGGCGUAAAGGGCGUGUAGGCGGUCUUGCAAGUCAGAAGUGAAAUUCCUGAGCUCAACUCGGGCGCUGCUUCUGAAACUGCAGGACUUGAGUGCUGGAGGGGAUAGCGGAAUUCCUAGUGGAGCGGUAAAAUGCGCAGAUAUUAGGAAGAACACCGGUGGCGAAGGCGGCUAUCUGGACUGUAACGGGCGCGGAGGUGCAAACGCGGGGGUAGCAACAAGGUUUAGAUCCACGGGUAGUCCACGCCGUAAACGAUGAAUACUAGGUGUAGGGGGUAUCGACUCCCUCUGUGCCGCAGUUAACACAAUAAGUAUUCCGCCUGGGGAGUACGGCCGCAAGGUUGAAACUCAAAUGAAUUGACGGGU
rnacentral:rRNA from 1 species